rnacentral:rRNA from 1 species
GCUAAUACAUGCAGUCGAGCGGACCGACGGGAGCUUGCUCCCUUAGGUCAGCGGCGGACGGGUGAGUAACACGUGGGUAACCUGCCUGUAAGACUGGGAUAACUCCGGGAAACCGGGGCUAAUACCGGAUGCUUGAUUGAACCGCAUGGUUCAAUCAUAAAAGGUGGCUUUUAGCUACCACUUGCAGAUGGACCCGCGGCGCAUUAGCUAGUUGGUGAGGUAACGGCUCACCAAGGCGACGAUGCGUAGCCGACCUGAGAGGGUGAUCGGCCACACUGGGACUGAGACACGGCCCAGACUCCUACGGGAGGCAGCAGUAGGGAAUCUUCCGCAAUGGACGAAAGUCUGACGGAGCAACGCCGCGUGAGUGAUGAAGGUUUUCGGAUCGUAAAACUCUGUUGUUAGGGAAGAACAAGUACCGUUCGAAUAGGGCGGUACCUUGACGGUACCUAACCAGAAAGCCACGGCUAACUACGUGCCAGCAGCCGCGGUAAUACGUAGGUGGCAAGCGUUGUCCGGAAUUAUUGGGCGUAAAGCGCGCGCAGGCGGUUUCUUAAGUCUGAUGUGAAAGCCCCCGGCUCAACCCGGGAGGGUCAUUGGAAACUUGGGAACUUGAGUGCAGAAGAGGAGAGUGGAAUUCCACGUGUAGCGGUGAAAUGCGUAGAGAUGUGGAGGAACACCAGUGGCGAAGGCGACUCUCUGGUCUGUAACUGACGCUGAGGCGCGAAAGCGUGGGGAGCGAACAGGAUUAGAUAC